UGGGGAAUUUUGGACAAUGGGCGCAACCCUGAUCCAGCCAUGCCGCGUGAGUGAAGAAGGCCUUCGGGUUGUAAAGCUCUUUCGGCGGGGACGAAACGGUCCGUGACAACACCACGGACUAAUGACAGUACUCGCAGAAGAAGCACCGGCUAACUACGUGCCAGCAGCCGCGGUAAUACGUAGGGUGCAGGCGUUAAUCGGAAUUACUGGGCGUAAAGCGUGCGCAGGCGGCUCCUUAAGUCAGAUGUGAAAUCCCCGGGCUUAACCUGGGAACUGCGUUUGAAACUGAGGGGCUAGAGUGUGGAAGAGGGGGGUGGAAUUCCAGGUGUAGCAGUGAAAUGCGUAGAGAUCUGGAGGAACACCGAUGGCGAAGGCAGCCCCCUGGGCUAACACUGACGCUCAUGCACGAAAGCGUGGGGAGCAAACAGGAUUAGAUACCCAAG
rnacentral:rRNA from 1 species